rfam:Spirochaetes bacterium RBG_16_49_21 RBG_16_scaffold_271, whole genome shotgun sequence.
GCCCAGGUGGUGGAAUUGGCAGACACAAGGGACUUAAAAUCCCUUGAACGUUACGUUCGUGAGGGUUCAAGUCCCUCCCUGGGCA